UUAAGUGACUAAGCGUACAAGGUGGAUGCCUUGGCAAUCAGAGGCGAAGAAGGACGUGCUAAUCUGCGAAAAGCUUGGAUGAGUCGAUAAGAGGCGUUUAAUCCAAGAUAUCCGAAUGGGGAAACCCAGUAGAUGAAGAAUCUACUAUCAACAAGUGAAUACAUAGUUUGUUGAGGCAAACCGGGAGAACUGAAACAUCUAAGUACCCCGAGGAAAAGAAAUCAACCGAGAUUUCGUCAGUAGCGGCGAGCGAAAGCGAAAGAGCCUGUUAAUGAUAGCAGCAGAGAUAGAGGAAUAAGCUGGGAAGCUUAGCGACACAGGGUGAUAGCCCCGUACUCGACAUCCAGGCUGUGGUACUAAGUUAACGAGAAGUAGGGCGGGACACGUGAUAUCCUGUUUGAAGAUGGGGGGACCAUCCUCCAAGGCUAAAUACUCCUGAUUGACCGAUAGUGAACCAGUACUGUGAAGGAAAGGCGAAAAGAACCCCGGCGAGGGGAGUGAAAUAGAACCUGAAACCUUGUACGUACAAGCAGUGGGAGCCCGCAAGGGUGACUGCGUACCUUUUGUAUAAUGGGUCAGCGACUUAUAUUUUGUAGCGAGGUUAACCGAAUAGGGGAGCCGAAGGGAAACCGAGUCUUAACUGGGCGUCUAGUUGCAAGGUAUAGACCCGAAACCCGGUGAUCUAGCCAUGGGCAGGUUGAAGGUUGGGUAACACUAACUGGAGGACCGAACCGACUAAUGUUGAAAAAUUAGCGGAUGACUUGUGGCUGGGGGUGAAAGGCCAAUCAAACCGGGAGAUAGCUGGUUCUCCCCGAAAUCUAUUUAGGUAGAGCCUUGAGCGGACACCUUUGGGGGUAGAGCACUGUUUCGGCUAGGGGUCCAUCCCGGAUUACCAACCCGAUGCAAACUACGAAUACCAAAGAGUGAUACUCAGGAGACACACGGCGGGUGCUAACGUCCGUCGUGGAGAGGGAAACAACCCAGACCGCCAGCUAAGGUCCCAAAGUCUAUAUUAAGUGGGAAACGAAGUGGGAAGGCUUAGACAGCUAGGAUGUUGGCUUAGAAGCAGCCAUCAUUUAAAGAAAGCGUAAUAGCUCACUAGUCGAGUCGGCCUGCGCGGAAGAUGUAACGGGGCUGAAAUAUAGCACCGAAGCUGCGGCAUCAGUAGCAAUACUGUUGGGUAGGGGAGCGUUGUGUAAGCGGAAGAAGGUGUGUUGAGAAGCAUGCUGGACGUAUCACAAGUGCGAAUGCUGACAUAAGUAACGAUAAAACGGGUGAAAAACCCGUUCGCCGGAAGACCAAGGGUUCCUGUCCAACGUUAAUCGGGGCAGGGUGAGUCGGCCCCUAAGGCGAGGCUGAAGAGCGUAGUCGAUGGGAAACAGGUUAAUAUUCCUGUACUUGGAUAAACUGCGAUGUGGGGACGGAGUAGGUUAGGUUAUCGCACUGUUGGAUAUGUGCGUUUAAGUUGGUAGGUGGGAAGUUUAGGCAAAUCCGGACUUCCUUAACACUGAGAGAUGAUGACGAGGCUCUACGGAGCUGAAGUAACCGAUACCACACUUCCAGGAAAAGCCACUAAGCUUCAGGUUUAUCUAAACCGUACUGAAAACCGACACAGGUGGUCAGGUAGAGAAUACUCAGGCGCUUGAGAGAACUCGGGUGAAGGAACUAGGCAAAAUAGCACCGUAACUUCGGGAGAAGGUGCGCCGGCGUAGAUUGUAAGGGCUAGCCCCUGAAGGUUGAACCGGUCGAAGAUACCAGCUGGCUGCAACUGUUUAUUAAAAACACAGCACUCUGCAAACACGAAAGUGGACGUAUAGGGUGUGAUGCCUGCCCGGUGCUGGAAGGUUAAUUGAUGGUGUAAUCGAAAGAGAAGCUCCUGAUCGAAGCCCCAGUAAACGGCGGCCGUAACUAUAACGGUCCUAAGGUAGCGAAAUUCCUUGUCGGGUAAGUUCCGACCUGCACGAAUGGCAUAAUGAUGGCCAGGCUGUCUCCACCCGAGACUCAGUGAAAUUGAAAUCGCCGUGAAGAUGCGGUGUACCCGCGGCUAGACGGAAAGACCCCGUGAACCUUUACUAUAGCUUGACACUGAACAUUGAAUUUUGAUGUGUAGGAUAGGUGGGAGACUUAGAAGUAGUCACGCCAGUGAUUAUGGAGUCGUCCUUGAAAUACCACCCUUUAACGUUUGAUGUUCUAACGAAGAUUGCGGAACGCGGUCUCGGACAGUGUCUGGUGGGUAGUUUGACUGGGGCGGUCUCCUCCCAAAGAGUAACGGAGGAGCACGAAGGUUUGCUAAUCACGGUCGGACAUCGUGAGGUUAGUGCAAUGGUAUAAGCAAGCUUAACUGCGAGACAGACAAGUCGAGCAGGUACGAAAGUAGGUCAUAGUGAUCCGGUGGUUCUGAAUGGAAGGGCCAUCGCUCAACGGAUAAAAGGUACUCCGGGGAUAACAGGCUGAUACCGCCCAAGAGUUCAUAUCGACGGCGGUGUUUGGCACCUCGAUGUCGGCUCAUCACAUCCUGGGGCUGAAGUAGGUCCCAAGGGUAUGGCUGUUCGCCAUUUAAAGUGGUACGCGAGCUGGGUUUAGAACGUCGUGAGACAGUUCGGUCCCUAUCUGCCGUGGGCGUUGGAGAAUUGGUUGGGGCUGCUCCUAGUACGAGAGGACCGGAGUGGACGCACCACUGGUGUUCCGGUUGUGUCGCCAGACGCAUUGCCGGGUAGCUAAGUGCGGAAGAGAUAAGUGCUGAAAGCAUCUAAGCACGAAACUUGCCAAGAGAUGAGUUCUCCCACACAUCAAGUGUGUAAGGGUUGUUUAAGACUAAGACGUAGAUAGGUGCGGUGUGUAAGUGAUGUGAGUCAUUGAGCUAACGCAUACUAAUUGCCCGAGAGGCUUAACU
rnacentral:rRNA from 1 species